UUUUAGCUGCUUUAUCUGUUGGCCUGGCUGUUAUCACUCUACUACUCGUUAAUCCUUACAGCUGUCCAUGUGGAAAACCUAAGAUUAAACUUCACAAGAACUUUAGAAGGAUUGUUGUUACGAUCUGUUUGCUUGGUAUUAUCGCUGUCGGUAUUGCGGUUUGUGUGAUUACCAAUCUCGAUUACUGCAGCACAUACAAACCAACAUCCGAAUCUUGAGAACCUUGGUGAACUACAUCCACUUGGUGAACUACAUCCACUUGGUGAACUACAACCAAUAAAUGAACAACAACAACGUGGUGAUCAACAGUUUGUUUGUUAUGUGAUUUAAGGAUCCCCAACUAAUGCCACAAAUCUAAUGAAUGGUUGGAAGCUGUUUUUGACUACUGCUUUGAUAAACCAUUUCUGAAAAAAAACAUACCUUGCAAGGCUUUUAUGAGAAAAACAUAUAGACGGCAUAAACAAAGUGAAAUCGACAGCACUGUUUAGAGAUUAAAUUAUAUCAGCAGGGCUAGACCGAAAUUCGAGCCCCGGACUUCAGAUUGAUAUACCACCGCUCUAACCAAUUGCGCUAUUGGUCAAUAGAAGUGUAUUGGGUCCAUUGUGCUACUACAUUAUAUCCAAACGGAAAUUAAGGGGAGGUUACUGAAUACAGGCAAAAAAACACAAUCCUUGAUGUAAAAGCCAGUUAGCAAAAAACAUUGUUCUAUACACCCAUUUUACUAGGUUACAAUUUUUUAGUCAUCUUUAUCAACCUGUAUUUGCAAACAUUUGCUUGUGAGUUGUGAUAAAGUUUAGGUUUGCUUAUGAAAUGCAUUUGGUUCUACACUUUUAGAUGGUUUUGAUUAUGAUCGCCUAAUUCUAAUUUCGAUGAAUUAUCACGUAUAAAAAUUAACCUAAUAUGAGAUGUCAGCAACGAAGUAUCAUUUUUACCAUGUAUAAAUAUAGUGCUGUGAGAUUUGUACUUUGCCUUCGACAUUGCCAACAGAACAGUCAGUCACUUGAACAUUUUUCAUAUAUCAAAUAUACCAGAUAGCAUACAUGUGUCCAUUAAUGAUUCAGUAUUUCUUCUUAAUAACAAAUACCUUGAAUAAGCAAACUGUGAUAUUAUCAAAUGUCUGUAAUUCACAGGCAAAGAAGUUUCGAUUAAUUAAAAUAUUGAAAUGUUUUUCUCUGUAAAAGACAGCAUAAUGAUAUGUGAAUAUUUAUCCUUGUUAUUUUAAACGAAAUAAAUAUAGU